rnacentral:piRNA from 1 species
UGGCCAAGCCGCCAUACCGUGCCUGUUGC